rnacentral:rRNA from 1 species
AGAGCGAACGCUGGCGGCAGGCCUAACACAUGCAAGUCGAACGGACCCUUCGGGGUUAGUGGCGGACGGGUGAGUAACACGUGGGAACGUGCCUUUAGGUUCGGAAUAGCUCCUGGAAACGGGUGGUAAUGCCGAAUGUGCCCUUCGGGGGAAAGAUUUAUCGCCUUUAGAGCGGCCCGCGUCUGAUUAGCUAGUUGGUGAGGUAAAGGCUCACCAAGGCUACGAUCAGUAGCUGGUCUGAGAGGAUGACCAGCCACAUUGGGACUGAGACACGGCCCAAACUCCUACGGGAGGCAGCAGUGGGGAAUCUUGCGCAAUGGGCGAAAGCCUGACGCAGCCAUGCCGCGUGAAUGAUGAAGGUCUUAGGAUUGUAAAAUUCUUUCACCGGGACGAUAAUGACGGUACCGGAGAAGAAGCCCCGCUAACUUCGUGCCAGCAGCCGC